ensembl:lncRNA
GCAGAACAGUACCUUGCUUUUGGAGAGGUCAGUGAGGUGUUAACCACUACAGAAGCAGUUGUGCUGGAGCGAAUGCAGAUAGCUUGCACCCUACUUGAACAUCGAGGGAACGCUGAGGACUACUGCAUUGUUUGCUCUAUGUUAGAUGCUGAUGCUGACCGCAGCAUGAUUGAAAUGGUGCAGUGUGAAUCUUGCCAAAGAUGGGCACAUUUUGCAUGUGCAAAAUAUAAAGAGAGCAAUCAAGAAUAUAAAUGCAAAAAAUGUAAGGAAAACACAUAACAACUUCAAAUAAAAACAGCUGUCUUUUCCCCUCCAUGUCUCUUUGUAUUCUUUGUCAACAUUAGAUGAUUGUGUGCUGGAGGCACGUUUUGAUAGUGUGAUUUGGCCAUCUGAAC